ACAUCUGCAGGAACAAAUAUAUCCGAGUUUGGAUGGUUCCGAUAAAAACUGCAAGUCACGUUAGGCGUCCAAAAUAAGUCAUACCUUUUGUAACAGUACAACACUGACACCUGCUGGCCGGUUUUAGUAUUGUGAUGUAUUUUUGACAGCAAAUGUAGAAAUGGCUUUGCAAUCACGGUAUGAGUGGAUUAGUGGGCAUAAAGUAAAUUUACAAGUGGACUAAAAAAUAUAUUUUAAAUUGACUGAAAGUAGAGUGCAUGCAGAGAAAAUAUGAGUUUUUAUGGUCAGUCUGAUUUGACUGCUUGCAGAUGGGGGCCCACCUGAGAAGAGGCGUCCUGCUCAGAGCUCCUGCGCUGAACCCAAACACAAAGGGCCCUCCUGGACCUCGGACCACGUUCGCCAUCUUUUGCCUGCAUGUGUAGCUCGUAGGGGAACAGCGUGGACCCCCUGUCGUCAUGCUGCAGCAGGCAGUAAUACAAACCCUGGUGGAGGUCGCUCAGAUUGUGGACCACCAGACUGCCGUCCUGGCGCAUGUGGAUCGGGUUCAGUUCUGUGUGGAGGCCUGGUGAGUGGAAGGGUCCGAAGGGGGUGUGCCAGUACACCACCACACCUGCUGGCCAAAGAAUAAUAAAAAGUUGAGUCAAAUUGAACUAAGUGCUGGUUGGUCACCUUUUGACCCAUAAUUGUGUUUGUUUGUUUUUGACCCAAGUUUGUGGAAUACAAACAUAGGUGUUGACUUGGUAGGUCACUAACCUGCCUUGCCGCCAUCACCGCACUUGAUAGUCACCACCGCCUGUGGGUGACCGUCUACCCUGAUGGUGGGUGCCACCAUCAGGACGUUGGGGCGUCCUGAUAUCCCGGGACAGGUCGACACAGCCAGGAAUGUUAUGACCAUGAAGCAGCGGGCCAACAUUCCAAAGCUGCAA